UGACGAGGCACUACGGUGCUGAAGCAACAAAUGCCCUGCUUCCAGGAAAAGCCUCUAAGCAUCAGGUAACAUCAAAUCGUACCCCAAACCGACACAGGUGGUCAGGUAGAGAAUACCAAGGCGCUUGAGAGAACUCGGGUGAAGGAACUAGGCAAAAUGGUGCCGUAACUUCGGGAGAAGGCACGCUGAUAUGUAGGUGAAGUCCCUCGCGGAUGGAGCUGAAAUCAGUCGAAGAUACCAGCUGGCUGCAACUGUUUAUUAAAAACACAGCACUGUGCAAACACGAAAGUGGACGUAUACGGUGUGACGCCUGCCCGGUGC
rnacentral:rRNA from 1 species